rnacentral:rRNA from 1 species
UGCGAGUCAUAUGUUCUUCGUGAACAUGGCGUACUGCUCAGUAACACGUGGAUAACCUGCCCUUGGGUCUGGGAUAACCCCGGGAAACUGGGGAUAAUACCGGAUAACGCAUAUAUGCCGGAAUGCUUUAUGCGUAAAAUGGAUUUGUCUGCCCAAGGAUGGGUCUGCGGCCUAUCAGGUAGUAGUGGGUGUAAUGUACCUACUAGCCUACGACGGGUACGGGUUGUGAGAGCAAGAGCCCGGAGAUGGAUUCUGAGACAUGAAUCCAGGCCCUACGGGGCGCAGCAGGCGCGAAAACUUUACAAUGCGGGAAACCGUGAUAAGGGGACACCGAGUGCCAGCAUCAUAUGUUGGCUGUCCAGAUGUGUAAAAUACAUCUGUUAGCAAGGGCCGGGCAAGACCGGUGCCAGCCGCCGCGGUAACACCGGCGGCCCGAGUGGUGAUCGUGAUUAUUGGGUCUAAAGGGUCCGUAGCCGGUUUGGUCAGUCCUCCGGGAAAUCUGACGGCUCAACCGUUAGGCUUUCGGUGGAUACUGCCAGACUUGGAACCGGGAGAGGUAAGAGGUACUACAGGGGUAGGAGUGAAAUCUUGUAAUCCCUGUGAGACCACCUGUGGCGAA